rnacentral:rRNA from 1 species
GACGAACGCUGGCGGCGUGCUUAACACAUGCAAGUCGAACGGAAAGGCCCUGCUUUUGUGGGGUGCUCGAGUGGCGAACGGGUGAGUAACACGUGAGUAACCUGCCCUUGACUUUGGGAUAACUUCAGGAAACUGGGGCUAAUACCGGAUAGGAGCUCCUGCUGCAUGGUGGGGGUUGGAAAGUUUCGGCGGUUGGGGAUGGACUCGCGGCUUAUCAGCUUGUUGGUGGGGUAGUGGCUUACCAAGGCUUUGACGGGUAGCCGGCCUGAGAGGGUGACCGGCCAAAUUGGGACUGAGAUACGGCCCAGACUCCUACGGGAGGCAGCAGUGGGGAAUGUUGCACAAUGGGCGGAAGCCUGAUGCAGCAACGCCGCGUGCGGGAUGACGGCCUUCGGGUUGUAAACCGCUUUCGCCUGUGACGAAGCGUGAGUGACGGUAAUGGGUAAAGAAGCACCGGCUAACUACGUG